GUGGGGAAUUUUGGACAAUGGGCGCAAGCCUGAUCCAGCAAUGCCGCGUGCAGGAAGAAGGCCUUCGGGUUGUAAACUGCUUUUGUACGGAACGAAACGGUCCGGGUUAAUACCCUGGGCUAAUGACGGUACCGUAAGAAUAAGCACCGGCUAACUACGUGCCAGCAGCCACGGUAAUACGUAGGGUGCAAGCGUUAAUCGGAAUUACUGGGCGUAAAGCGUGCGCAGGCGGUUUUGUAAGACAGGCGUGAAAUCCCCGGGCUCAACCUGGGAAUUGCGCUUGUGACUGCAAGGCUGGAGUGCGGCCGAGGGGGAUGGAAUUCCGCGUGUAGCAGUGAAAUGCGUAGAUAUGCGGAGGAACACCGAUGGCGAAGGCAAUCCCCUGGGCCUGCACUGACGCUCAUGCACGAAAGCGUGGGGAGCAAACAGGAUUAGAAACCCUGGUAGUCC
rnacentral:rRNA from 1 species